rnacentral:antisense_RNA from 1 species
GUCGAGGUGACCCGCACCUGGCUCCAUGGCGGAACCGGCCGGCGUGGAUUAUUCCCCUCUCGGGAGAGAGGUCUGCAGCCGGGCCUCAGUGCUUCAGUUCGUGGCCUGGCAUUUUGUGAAGAGUGUCUUCAUCUCUGCAUCCCUAGUGCAACAGAGCAUGAUAAAAAUUCAAUAAAUAUUUAUUGCAGAGUCUUGAUGUCUUUUGGGAAAGGAACUCUAUGGUUACCUUUACUCUAAGGUAAAGAAAUUUAGGUCCUGAACUUUAACCACCUUCUCCUCUUCUUUCUUCCCUCUUUCAUAAAUGAGCUCUUGGAAAAUUAAAAUGCCAGGAGGGUCCAGCAGAGAAUACCCAAGCCCACAUGUCCUGAUGGGAAGUGGGGAAUAAGUAGAGAGGGAAACACAGACUCUGUGUGCCAUCUCACUGCUGCUGGCCCAGGGGACCC